GGUUCGAUUAUGGCUCAGUUUGAACGCUGGCGGGAUAAGCUUUACACAUGCAAGUCGAACGGCAGCACGGACUCCGGUCUGGUGGCGAGUGGCGAACGGGUGAGUAAUGUAUCGAACGCCUAGUAGCGGGGGAUAACUACGCGAAAGGUAGCUAUUACCGCAUACGCCCUUCGGGGAAAGUGCGGGGACCUUCGGGCCUCGCACUAUUAGAGCGGCCGAUAUCGGAUUAGCCGGUUGGUGGGGUAACGGCUCACCAAGGCGACGAUCCGUAGCUGGUUUGAGAGGACGACCAGCCACACUGGGACUGAGACACGGCCCAGACUCCUACGGAGGCAGCAGUGGGGAAUUUUGGACAAUGGGGGAAACCCUGAUCCAGCCAUCCGGCGCGUGCGAUGAAGGCCUUCGGGGUUGUAAAGACUUUUGGCAGGAAAGAAAACGGCACGGGAUACAUCUCGUGCAACGACGGUAUCUGGGCACAAGCACCGAAGCCAACUACGCCAGCAGCCGCGGUAAUACGUAGGGUGUAAGUUGCUAAUCGGAAUUACUGCUUAAAGCGUGCGCAGGCGGUUCGAAAGAAAGAUGUGAAAUCCCAGAGCUUAACUUCGGAACUGCAUUUAACUACCGAGCUAGAGUGUGUCAGAGGGAGGUGGAAUUCCGCGUGUAGCAGCGAAAUGCGUAGAUAUGCGGAGGAACACCGAUACGGCGAAGGCAGCCUCCUGGGAUAACACUGACGCUCAUGCACGAAAGCGCGUGUGGGAGCAAAACAGGAUUAGAUACCCUGGUAGUCUCAAUGCCCCUAAACGAUGUCAACUAGCUGGGGCCUUCGGGCCUUGGUAGCGGUGCUAACGCGAAGUUGACCGCCCAGAGCAUGGACGAUUAAACUCAAAGGAAUUGGCGGGGAUUCCAAGAAGCGUAAGUGGAUGAUGUGGAUUAAUUCGAUGCAACGCGAAAACCUGCCUACCCUUGACAUGUCUGGAAUCCCGAAGAGAUUUGGAGUGCUCGCAAGAGAACCGGAACACAGGUGCUGCAUGGCUUCGUCGUCAGCCGUCGUGAGAUGUUGGGUUGUUUCUCCCGCAACGAGCACAACCCUUGUCAUUAGUUGCUGAAAGGGCACUUAAUGAGAUCGCUGGUGACAAACCGGAGGAAGGUGGGAUGACGUCAAGCCCUGCGGCCCUGUUGUUGGUAGGGCUUCACACGUCAUACAAUGGUCGGGACAGAGGAACGCUAACCCGCGAGGGGGAGCUAAUCCCAGAAACCCGAUCGUAGUCCGGAUCGCAGUCUGCAACUCGACUGCGUAGUCGUGGAUAAUCAAGUAGUAAUCGCGGAUCAAUAGCAUGUCGCGGUGAAUGUUCCUGGUCUGUACACACCGCCCGUCACACCAUGGGAGUGGGUUUUACCAGAAGUAGUUAGCCUAACCGUAAGGAGGGCGAUACUACGGUAGGAUUCAUGACUGGGGUGAAGUCGUAACAAGGUAG
rnacentral:rRNA from 1 species